GAUGAACGCUGGCGGCGUGCCUAAUACAUGCAAGUCGAGCGAGAAGCUUGGAAAUGACGCUUCGGUUGAUUUUCCAAGCGGACAGCGGCGGACGGGUGAGUAACGCGUAGGCAACCUGCCCCUGACAGAGGGAUAGCCAUUGGAAACGAUGAUUAAAACCUCAUGACACCGUAGUAGCACAUGCUACAUCGGUCAAAGAUUUAUCGGUCAGGGAUGGGCCUGCGUCUGAUUAACUGGUUGGUGAGGUAACGGCUCACCAAGGUGACGAUCAGUAGCCGACCUGAGAGGGUGAUCGGCCACAUUGGAACUGAGACACGGUCCAAACUUCUACGGAAGGCAGCAGUAGGGAAUCUUGCACAAUGGGCGAAAGCCUGAUGCAGCAACGCCGCGUGAAGGAUGAAGGC
rnacentral:rRNA from 1 species